AUUGAACGCUGGCGGCAGGCCUAACACAUGCAAGUCGAGCGGAUGAAGGGAGCUUGCUCCUGGAUUCAGCUGCGGACGGGUGAGUAAUGCCUAGGAAUCUGCCUGGUAGUGGGGGAUAACGUCCGGAAACGGGCGCUAAUACCGCAUACGUCCUGAGGGAGAAAGGGGGGGAUCUUCGGACCUCACGCUAUCAGAUGAGCCUAGGUCGGAUUAGCUAGUUGGUGGGGUAAAGGCCUACCAAGGCGACGAUCCGUAACUGGUCUGAGAGGAUGAUCAGUCACACUGGAACUGAGACACGGUCCAGACUCCUACGGGAGGCAGCAGUGGGGAAUAUUGGACAAUGGGCGAAAGCCUGAUCCAGCCAUGCCGCGUGUGUGAAGAAGGUCUUCGGAUUGUAAAGCACUUUAAGUUGGGAGGAAGGGCAGUAAGUUAAUACCUUGCUGUUUUGACGUUACCAACAGAAUAAGCACCGGCUAACUUCGUG
rnacentral:rRNA from 1 species